rnacentral:rRNA from 1 species
UACGUAGGGUGCGAGCGUUGUCCGGAAUUACUGGGCGUAAAGAGCUCGUAGGUGGUUUGUCACGUCGUCUGUGAAAUUCCGGGGCUUAACCUCGGGCGUGCAGGCGAUACGGGCAAUACUUGAGUGCUGUAGGGGAGACUGGAAUUCCUGGUGUAGCGGUGAAAUGCGCAAAUAUCAGGAGGAACACCAAUGGCGAAGGCAGGUCUCUGGGCAGUUACUGACGCUGAGGAGCGAAAGCAUGGGUAGCGAACAGGAUUAGAUA